ACGGGAGGCAGCAGUGGGGAAUUUUGCGCAAUGGGGGAAACCCUGACGCAGCAACGCCGCGUGCGGGAUGGAGGCCUUCGGGCUGUGAACCGCUUUCAGCAGGGAAGACAUCGACGGUACCUGCAGAAGAAGCCCCGGCUAACUACGUGCCAGCAGCCGCGGUAAUACGUAGGGGGCGAGCGUUAUCCGGAUUCAUUGGGCGUAAAGCGCGCGUAGGCGGCUGCCUAAGCGUAGUUUCUAACCUUGGGGCUCAACAGCAAGCCGGACGCCGAACUGGGCGGCUCGAGUGCGGUAGGGGCAGGCGGAAUUCCACGUGUAGCGGUGAAAUGCGCAGAUAUGUGGAGGAACACCGAUGGCGAAGGCAGCCUGCUGGGCCGCCACUGACGCUGAGGCGCGAAAGCUAGGGGAGCGAACAGGAUUAGAUACCCUGGUA
rnacentral:rRNA from 1 species